UACGAAGGGUGCAAGCGUUAUUCGGAAUCAUUGGGCGUAAAGCGCGCGCAGGCGGAUUGAUAAGUCAGGUGUGAAAUCUCGAGGCUCAACCUCGAAACUGCGCCUGAAACUAUUAGUCUAGAGUGUCGGAGGGGGUAGGGGAAUUUCACGUGUAGGGGUAAAAUCCGUAGAGAUGUGAAGGAACACCGGGGGCGAAGGCGCCUACCUGGACGACUACUGACGCUGAGGCGCGAAAGCGUGGGGAGCAAACAGG
rnacentral:rRNA from 1 species